rnacentral:rRNA from 1 species
AACGAACGCUGGCGGCAUGCCUAACACAUGCAAGUCGAACGAGAUCUUCGGGUCUAGUGGCGCACGGGUGCGUAACGCGUGGGAAUCUGCCCUUUGGUUCGGAAUAACAGUUGGAAACGACUGCUAAUACCGGAUGAUGACGAAAGUCCAAAGAUUUAUCGCCAGAGGAUGAGCCCGCGUAGGAUUAGCUAGUUGGUGUGGUAAAGGCGCACCAAGGCGACGAUCCUUAGCUGGUCUGAGAGGAUGAUCAGCCACACUGGGACUGAGACACGGCCCAGACUCCUACGGGAGGCAGCAGUGGGGAAUAUUGGACAAUGGGCGAAAGCUUGAUCCAGCAAUGCCGCGUGAGUGAUGAAGGCCUUAGGGUUGUAAAGCUCUCUUACCCGGGAUGAUAAUGACAGUACCGGGAGAAUAAGCUCCGGCUAACUCCGUGCCAGCCGCCGCAGUAA